UACGGAGGGCGCAAGCGUUAAUCGGAAUCACUGGGCGUAAAGCGCGCGUAGGCUGUCUGAUAAGUCAGGCGUGAAAUCCCUCGGCUCAACCGGGGAACUGCGCUUGAUACUGUUGGACUCGAGUCCUGGAGAGGGUGGCGGAAUUCCUGGUGUAGGAGUGAAAUCCGUAGAUAUCAGGAGGAACACCGGUGGCGAAGGCGGCCACCUGGACAGGUACUGACGCUGAGGCGCGAAAGCGUGGGGAGCAAACAGG
rnacentral:rRNA from 1 species